rnacentral:lncRNA from 1 species
AUCCACCUUACUUCUAGUUUUUUUUAAUUUCUAAUCUCACUUUGGACUCUCUCGAUUAUUUUCUCUGAUCUCCCUUAAAGUAAGGAGUAUCCGUUGGAGAGCCCUCUGCCAGCUCAGCAAGCAGCCCGCAGUGUCCCGCCACCAAACCGCCCUGCGCCGUGUUCAGUACUCGGGAGCGCCCGUCCAGCCCGAGCUGCGCUUCGCUGCAUCUGUGAGAGUGUCUCGUUCUGCCCACUGUCCUGCUGUAAGUAGAUCUGAAAGUCUUGGUUACUUGAAGUUACAAUAUCAAGCCCGCAGUCGCUAGAAUCAGCCCAGCGCGGCCACGUGUGCGCGUGGCAUCCUGCGCGCCGGCACCAGGCUUGGCUACGAGCUCAGUCUGGCGGCUCCACUGUCUGAGCUCUUCUUCUCGGAAGUGGGCAUCAUUUCUGGCGUCUAGCUCUGCUUACAGGAGGGAGACAGCGGCUGGCCUGUGGCUUAGCCGACCACUGUCCCUGGUCUUUGAUGCUGACCUCAUGGGGACGCCUGCUGUUUUUUCAGGCAAAACGGCACCAGGCAGAGUCCACGUGCUGCGGGGGCUCCGUGGCAUCGUCAUGUCUUCCGCAUGCAGGAAGGACGGCGGGACCUGACGGCUGUCACCGAGCUAGCUGUUUCCUGGCCAGAAAGAUGAGCCCUGUUCACUCUNNNGGGGGGGGACUCCCUGCAGGGGGCAUGUCUCUAUCUCUGGUCCUCACUGUUCUUUCUUUGUGGUUUUCCACUGUAAUGGCAGAGUUGAAACACUUAGAAGAAAAAAUUACUUUUAUUUUUGGUAAAGAGAUUCAGACAUUUGAUAAGAAUGUGUUUUUGCGUGUGUGUGGCACUGCCUUUCUUUUCCUCUUUGGAGAAGUUAGUUUGGGGAAGUGCCACAAAGUUGUGGGGCAGGAGUAGAAAGAGCCGGCAGCCAUCAGGGUGAGCGCGCGGACUGUGGUCCGGAUGGACGACGUGGACCGGGAAGGACAGGCGUGCUGACUCGUGACCUGCAGCUCCCACCCCGUGUAGUGACAGGAAGGCUUCCCGUGCGCCCGCACAGCAGAGCACAGCAGACCCCCCCCCGAGACUCUGGGAGCAUUUCAUGGGGCUGUUCCCAGUUUCCCUAAACCACAGGAGAUUUUCACUUCUUACUUGAAGGGCAAAUGCAGGAAAAAAAGGCAUAGUUUUCCUCUGUGUCACAGUUAAGGCUUUGGCUCUUUGUCUCGUAACUUAAAGGAUUAUAAUUAUGAUCUCUGUGGGAUGAUCCAAACUUGCCCUGUGCCCAUGGGUUUUAAUGCUUCCUCCCAGAGAACCCAAAUCACCACAUUUCUAAAUUCCAC